AGAGUUUGAUCCUGGCUCAGGACGAACGCUGGCGGCGCGCCUUACGCAUGCAAGUCGAACGGACCUUCGGGUUAGUGGCGGACGGGUGAGUAACGCGUAGGUAACCUACCCAGUGGUGGGGAAUAACUCCCCGAAAGGUGAGCUAAUACCGCAUAAGUUCACGGUUUGAAAUGCCCCGGAGGAAAGCAUUUAUGCGCCGCUGGAGGGGCCUGCUUCCAAUCAGGUAGUUGGUGGGGUAACGGCCUACCCGGGGAAUAACUGAUCCCUGGUCUGACAGGAGGUAUCACCGCUCUCGGGAAUGAUGACAGGCUCUCUACUCCUACGGUAGGCAUCACCGAUGAAUCUGGCGCGAUGGAAUAAAAUGUCCUGACCCCGUGUUCACCGCCGUGAGGCAUCAAAGGGCUUUGUGGUGCUAUACCCGCUUUAGUGUGCGCAUAACCUCUCUGACAGGUACGUCACCGAGUCAUGCAUCGGCUUUACUAUACUGCGCGGCGAACUCGCUGUAAUAGUCUUACCGUUGGGAACCCUUUGUUGCGUUCUUUGCCCGGCCCUGUUAAGUUUCUCUGUUAUUGGGAUGAGGUUCAUCUUCCGGUUGUGGAAAUGCAUCACUUGGUGCAAUACUUCCUCAGGGGUCGUCCUCUCUAUAAUAGGUGCGGGAUCUUAUACGAUGGUGUCAAUACCCUAGUUCUCGCUGUUGUC
rnacentral:rRNA from 1 species